GUCUCCAACCACAGGGCCACAGAGCUGGAGCUGGAUCUACCAUGAAGGACUUCUGAAUCCAGGAAGAGAGACUGACUGGGCAACAUGUUAUUCAGGGUCUCCCUCUGUUGUCCAAGGCUGGAGUGUAGUAGUGCUAUCGCAGCUGACUGCAGCCUCAACCUUCCAGGCUGAAGCGAUCCUCCUACCUCAACCUCCCACGUGGCUGAGACUACAGGUGCUUGACACUAUGCCCAACUAAUAUUUGGAAUUUUCGUAUACGUGGAUUCCAGAGGGGUGACAGUGUAACGUGAUAGGUGACCUCACAGUGACUCAAGCUACCACUUACUGUUGAUUGUGACAAAAUGCCAGCUGAGGCACAUGCCUUGGGAGCUAAGUGGUUUCUGCCC
rnacentral:lncRNA from 1 species